rnacentral:rRNA from 1 species
AUGGUUAAGUUAGAAAGGGCGCACGGUGGAUGCCUUGGCACUAGGAGCCGAUGAAGGACGGGACGAACACCGAUAUGCUUCGGGGAGCUGUAAGCAAGCUUUGAUCCGGAGAUUUCCGAAUGGGGAAACCCACUGCUCGUAAUGGAGUAGUAUCCAUACUUGAAUACAUAGAGUAUGAGAAGGCAUACCCGGGGAACUGAAACAUCUAAGUACCCGGAGGAAGAGAAAGCAAAUGCGAUUCCCUGAGUAGCGGCGAGCGAAACGGGAACAGCCCAAACCAAGAGGCUUGCCUCUUGGGGUUGUAGGACACUCUAU